CUCUCCUCCAUCGUCAGAAGGUAGCCCUCGGUCCUCCCCUUCGUCGCGCAACCAACUCACCGCCACGGACUCGCGAACUCCGGCUCCUGCAGCCUGCGACCACCACCACCGCCUCCCUUCCCUGAGUUAGAUCCAGGUAGAAGUGAUGGAGGCUAUCUUUUGCUACCGAUGAUGCGGUUGUGGAGCUAGAGCAGUCGCUCAAAGUCGGUAGACAGGUUAUUUCCGAGAAGCCUGAUUUAGAAGGUGUUGAGCCAUUGAAAAACAUCUCAGUUAUAAUCUUUAGUUGCCUUUUAUCCAUAGACGUUUAAAGUUGAAACACUUUUUAGCUCUUUUUAGUUGUCUCUCAUCAAAAUCCUGUUUUAUUCUUAGUUUCGACGAGCUUGAGAGCGAAUAUAUUUGAUGUACAGAUGUCGGGAUGAACCACAAAAUCCCAAAUGUAUACAUACAUUCACAAACUGAAUGCUUAGAUGAA